UACGUAGGGUGCAAGCGUUAAUCGGAAUUACUGGGCGUAAAGCGUGCGCAGGCGGUUCUAUAAGACAGAUGUGAAAUCCCCGGGCUCAACCUGGGAACUGCAUUUGUGACUGUAGAGCUGGAGUACGGUAGAGGGAGAUGGAAUUCCGCGUGUAGCAGUGAAAUGCGUAGAUAUGCGGAGGAACACCGAUGGCGAAGGCAAUCCCCUGGACCUGUACUGACGCUCAUGCACGAAAGCGUGGGGAGCAAACAGG
rnacentral:rRNA from 1 species